rnacentral:piRNA from 1 species
UGGCUUAGAGAUUAAGAGCACUG